rnacentral:rRNA from 1 species
UACGAAGGGGGCUAGCGUUGCUCGGAAUCACUGGGCGUAAAGGGUGCGUAGGCGGGUCUUUUAAGUCAGGGGUGAAAUCCUGGAGCUCAACUCCAGAACUGCCUUUGAUACUGAAGAUCUUGAGUUCGGGAGAGGUGAGUGGAACUGCGAGUGUAGAGGUGAAAUUCGUAGAUAUUCGCAGGAACACCAGUGGCGAAGGCGGCUCGCUGGGCCGGCCCUGACGCUGAGACGCGAAGGCGUGGGGAGCGAACGGG